rnacentral:hammerhead_ribozyme from 1 species
AUUCAGCUGACGAGUCUGCAAUGGGACGAAACGCUCUUCCUGAAU